CCUACGGGUGGCAGCAGUGGGGAAUAUUUGACAAUGGGGGCAACCCUGAUCCAGCCAUGCCGCGUGUGUGAAGAAGGCCCUCGGGUUGUAAAGCACUUUCAGUGAGGAAGAACGCCUGGUGGUUAAUACCCAUCAGGAAAGACAUCACUCACAGAAGAAGCACCGGCUAACUCCGUGCCAGCAGCCGCGGUAAUACGGAGGGUGCGAGCGUUAAUCGGAAUUACUGGGCGUAAAGCGCGCGUAGGUGGCUUGAUAAGCCGGUUGUGAAAGCCCCGGGCUCAACCUGGGAACGGCAUCCGGAACUGUCAAGCUAGAGUGCAGGAGAGGAAGGUAGAAUUCCCGGUGUAGCGGUGAAAUGCGUAGAGAUCGGGAGGAAUACCAGUGGCGAAGGCGGCCUUCUGGACUGACACUGACACUGAGGUGCGAAAGCGUGGGUAGCAAACAGGAUUAGAUACCCGAGUAGUC
rnacentral:rRNA from 1 species